AACAGUCAUGCAGCUGUAGAAAAUGCAGCAGAGGGGAAGGCCACAGGAUCAGUGGGCAGCCUGGCAUCAUGAUUAAGUGGAGAUACCAUCACAGAACACCUGAGACUUAGAGCUACACACAACAGGCUGUGCGGUGAUGUGCUGGGCAACAGAACAUCGAUUUCGACGUCAAAAGACCUUCAUAGUGCUUCCGAAUUCUGACUUACCUUAGGCAAGUGCCUGAACCAAUGGGUUCCUCAGUUUCUCCUUUCUGUUGGAAUUGGGUAAUGUUGAUAUUCACCAACCUGCUCUGCAGCAUAAAAGUCUAAUGGCA
rnacentral:lncRNA from 10 species